rnacentral:rRNA from 1 species
UAUGAGGGGGCAGUAAAGUACUGCUGGUGUAGAGAUGAAAUUCUGUCAUACCUAAUUCAUAUAACGUCUUCUAGACGAAAGAACCUACGGCACAGGUAUAGGCGAAAGCAUCUCCUUAUGUGAUAACUGACGUUGAGGGACGAAGGCUUUGUGUAGCGAACAGGAUUAGAUACCCAAGUAGUCAAAGCAGAAAAUGAUGAAUGUCAUAGAUUAGACAUAUAGUUUAUUCUAUAAAUGAAAGUGUAAGCAUUCCACCUCAAGAGUAAUUUGGCAACAUUGGAACUGAAAUCAUUAGACCGUUUCUGAAACCAGUAGUGAAGUAUGUUGUUUAAUUUGAUAGUCCUCAAAAAACCUUACCACAAUUUGAAUAUUUAUGUUUUGAUUAGUUCUGUUUUUAAAACUUGUUUCAUAAAAACAAGAAAAUAUAUAAAACUAAGUUUUUUUUGUUAAUAAUAAACGGGCUGGAACUAAUUAAGACAUAUCUACAAGCGUUGCACGGCUGUCUUCAG